AGCGAACGCUGGCGGUAGGCCUAACACAUGCAAGUCGAACGGCAGCACAGUAAGAGCUUGCUCUUACGGGUGGCGAGUGGCGGACGGGUGAGGAAUACAUCGGAAUCUACUUUUUCGUGGGGGAUAACGUAGGGAAACUUACGCUAAUACCGCAUACGACCUACGGGUGAAAGCAGGGGAUCUUCGGACCUUGCGCGCUUGACUGAGCCGAUGUCGGAUUAGCUAGUUGGCGGGGUAAAGGCCCACCAAGGCGACGAUCCGUAGCUGGUCUGAGAGGAUGAUCAGCCACACUGGAACUGAGACACGGUCCAGACUCCUACGGGAGGCGCCAGUGGGGAAUAUUGGACAAGGGGCGCAAGCCUGAUCCAGCCAUACCGCGUGGGUGAAGAAGGCCUUCGGGUGGUAAAGCCCGUUUGUUGGGAAAGAAAAGUAGCAGGUUAAUACCCCGCUGUUCUGACGGUACCCAAAGAAUAAGCACCGGCUAACUUCGUG
rnacentral:rRNA from 1 species